rnacentral:sRNA from 1 species
CAUUUGUAAGUGAAGUUCAAACCAGUUUUAAGAACAAGAAAGGAAAUGAGUAUCUUAGAAGAAAAGGUGACCUUGAAAUAGAAGACUCAGAUGAAGCUUCACAAACUAUUUGUCUGAUUUACCCUAUACAGAAAAGGCCUUCAGCCUAAUGUACUCCUGUAUUUGGAAUCUGUCGUUUUAUCUUGGGUAGCAGUACAUUAGGUCACUGCCUGAAAUUCUCCAUUUUCAGAUGCUGUCCACGGUGCUGAACAUCAUCAUCUUUGAAGACUGUAGGAACCAGUGGUCUAUGUCCCGACCACUACUUGGCUUGAUAUUGCUUAAUGAAAAGUAUUUUUCUGACCUAAGGAACAGUAUCGUGAACAGCCAGCCACCAGAGAAGCAGCAGGCCAUGCACCUGUGUUUUGAGAACCUGAUGGAAGGCAUCGAGCGAAAUCUUCUU